GACGAACGCUGGUGGCGUGCCUAAUACAUGCAAGUAGGACGCAGUUGCGAACGGGUGAGUAACGCGUAGGUAACUACCUAUUAGAGGGGGAUAACUAUUGGAAACGUUAGCUAAUACCGCAUAGUAGCAGAUGGACCUGCGUUGUAUUAGCAAGUAGGUAGGGUAAUGGCCUACCUAGGCACAGAUACAUAGCCGAACUUAGAGGGUGAUUGGCUACCCUGGGACUGAGACACGGCCCCGGCUCCUUCUGGAGGCCGCAGUAGGGAGUUUUCGGAAAUGGGGGGAACCCUGACCGAGCAACGCCGCGUGAGUGAAGACGGUUUUCGGAACGUAAAGCUCUGUUGUUAAGGAAGCGGUACUUAACCAGAAAGGGACGGCUAACUACGUGCCAGCAGCCGCGGUAAUAC
rnacentral:rRNA from 1 species